rnacentral:snoRNA from 1 species
UUUGAUGAUGAUACAAAUUAUGAUGCUUGAAGAGUUUUCUCACUGUGAGCACAAUGAUUUCUCAAUAGACUACAACGGUAUCUGAAA